GGCCUAAUGGUCUAGUAGUAUGAUUCUCGCUUUGGGUGUCAAAAGGCCGUGUCGUGCCGUCCACCUGUGUGCGAGAGGUCCUGGGUUCAAUUCCCAGUUGGGCCC